AGCCAAGUCCCGUGCAGCUAGAACGAGCUCAACCCCGCCAGAUCCGGAAGGAAGCAACGGUCGGUUCGAUUUUAGGGUGCCACGGCCAACUUGGCUCUU
rnacentral:SRP_RNA from 1 species